rnacentral:tRNA from 1 species
GGUUGUAGCUCAGUGGUACAGCACUAGCCUGGCAUGUGUGAGGCACUGGGUUUGAUUCUCAGAACCG